rnacentral:rRNA from 1 species
CAGUAGCCACGGGAAUACGAGGGGGGCAAGCGUUGUUCGGAAUUAUUGGGCGUAAAGGGCGCGUAGGCGGUUUGACAAGUCUUAUGUGAAAUCUUCGGGCUCAACUCGAAGUCUGCAUGGGAAACUGUCGGGCUUGAGUAUGGGAGAGGUGAGUGGAAUUUCCGGUGUAGCGGUAAAAUGCGUAGAUAUCGGAAGGAACACCUGUGGCGAAAGCGGCUCACUGGACCAUAACUGACGCUGAGGCGCGAAAGCUAGGGGAGCAAACAAGAUUAGAUACCCGCGUAGUCCCUGUCUCUUAUAC